UACGUAGGAGGCGAGCGUUGUCCGGAGUUACUGGGCGUAAAGCGCACGCAGGCGGUCAGAUCAGUCUGGAGUGACAGUCGUCGGCUUAACCGACGAAGUGUUCUGGAAACUGUCUGACUUGAGGGCUUCAGAGGGACACGGAAUUCCGGGUGGAGUGGUGAAAUGCGUAGAUAUCCGGAGGAACACCAAUGGCGAAGGCAGUGUCCUGG
rnacentral:rRNA from 1 species